GAAAUGCGAUAAGUAGUGUGAAUUGCAGAAUUCAGUGAAUCAUCGAAUCUUUGAACGCACAUUGCGCCCUUUGGUAUUCCUUAGGGCAUGCCUGUUCGAGCGUCAUCUAAACCUUCAAGCCCUGCUUGGUGUUGGGUGCCUGUCCCGCCUCCGCGCGCGGACUCACCUCAAAUCCAUUGGCGGCCCCCGCGUCGGCCACGAGCGCAGCAGAAACGCGAUCUCGUGAGCCCGUCCGGGCGGCUCCCAGAAGCUACACCCACCCAGUUUGACCUCGGAUCAGGUAGGGAUACCCGCUGAACUUAAAC
rnacentral:misc_RNA from 1 species